UUUUUGACAAUGUAGAUUGUCUCUUGAAUUUUCCUGUUGACAUUAAUUCACAUUUAUUUAUUUUCGUCCUCCUUAUUGUCAAGAUUUUGGCAACUGUAUAACCCAAACUGUAUACUUUCACUCAAUAAAUAUUGAUUUAAUGAAAUAAGUUUCACAGUACAUCAUUGAAUGAUUGAAAAUCAGAACCUACCAUCCUUCUAUCUCAGGUUACAUCUUUUUCUAGCACUCCUUGAAGGCA
rnacentral:lncRNA from 1 species